rnacentral:rRNA from 1 species
CAGCCGCCGCGGGAAUACGUAGGGUGCAAGCGUUAAUCGGAAUUACUGGGCGUAAAGCGUGCGCAGGCGGCCAUGCAAGACAGAUGUGAAAUCCCCGGGCUCAACCUGGGAACUGCAUUUGUGACUGCAUGGCUAGAGUACGGUAGAGGGGGAUGGAAUUCCGCGCGUAGCAGUGAAAUGCGUAGAUAUGCGGAGGAGCACCGAUGGCGAAGGCAAUCCCCUGGACCUGUACUGACGCUCAUGCACGAAAGCGUGGGGAGCAAACAGGAUUAGAGACCCCUGUAGUCCCUGUCUCUUAUAU